rnacentral:rRNA from 1 species
CCCUUAGAUGUUCUGGGCCGCACGCGCGCUACACUGAUGCAUUCAACGAGUUUCUUCCUGGUCCGAGAGGAAUGGGUAACCUUUUGAAAGUGCAUCGUGAUAGGGAUAGACUAUUGCAAUUAUUGGUCUUCAACGAGGAAUUCCUAGUAGACGUAGUUCAUCAGACUGCAUCGAUUACGUCCCUGCCCUUUGUACACACCGCCCGUCGCUCCUACCGAUUGAAUGCUCAGGUGAGCCAUUCGGACUUUCAUCAUGCUGGUUUCCAGUUUUGAUGAAGGAAAGUCUUGCGAACCUUAUCAUCUAGAGGAAGGAGAAGUCGUAACA